UAAUUGAAUAAAGCACCUCAUAUAAGACGGGAAUAUGGCCCGUUCGUCUCUACCCGGCAACCGUAAAUUGCUGGACUAUGAGGAAGAUGAA
rnacentral:ncRNA from 1 species